rnacentral:rRNA from 1 species
UGGAUCCAGACUUUGAUCCUGGCUCAGGAUGAACGCUAGCUACAGGCUUAACACAUGCAAGUCGAGGGGAAACGAUAGAGAAAGCUUGCUUUUUCUAGGCGUCGACCGGCGCACGGGUGAGUAACGCGUAUCCAACCUGCCCAUCACUUGGGGAUAACCUUGCGAAAGUAAGACUAAUACCCAAUGAUAUCUCUAGAAGACAUCUGAAGGAGAUUAAAGAUUCAUCGGUGAUGGAUGGGGAUGCGUCUGAUUAGCUUGUUGGCGGGGUAACGGCCCACCAAGGCAACGAUCAGUAGGGGUUCUGAGAGGAAGGUCCCCCACAUUGGAACUGAGACACGGUCCAAACUCCUACGGGAGGCAGCAGUGAGGAAUAUUGGUCAAUGGACGAGAGUCUGAACCAGCCAAGUAGCGUGCAGGAUGACGGCCCUAUGGGUUGUAAACUGCUUUUAUAAGAGAAUAAAGUGAGCUACGUGUAGCUUUUUGCAUGUACCUUAUGAAUAGGGACCGGCUAAUUCCGUGCCAGCAGCCGCGGUAAUACGGAAGGUCCGGGCGUUAUCCGGAUUUAUUGGGUUUAAAGGGAGCGUAGGCCGGAGAUUAAGCGUGUUGUGAAAUGUAGAUGCUCAACAUCUGCACUGCAGCGCGAACUGGUUUCCUUGAGUACGCACAAAGUGGGCGGAAUUCGUGGUGUAGCGGUGAAAUGCUUAGAUAUCACGAAGAACUCCGAUUGCGAAGGCAGCUCACUGGAGCGCAACUGACGCUGAAGCUCGAAAGUGCGGGUAUCGAACAGGAUUAGAUACCCUGGUAGUCCGCACGGUAAACGAUGGAUGCCCGCUGUUGGUCUGAAUAGGUCAGCGGCCAAGCGAAAGCAUUAAGCAUCCCACCUGGGGAGUACGCCGGCAACGGUGCAACUCAAAGGAAUUGACGGA